UUUUUAGCAAGAAUUUAAUAGAUCAAGGUAAAACAGAAACAGAAAUGGAAAAAUAAUGGCACGUAUUACCAGAUCAGGAUGCACAUUACUGAUUCAGCACUAUAAAGGACAGCAAAAACCAAAACUAUGAAGGAAAUAGAAUUUAGAAAUGUACCUCAUCGUUAAGUGAAGCAGGAGUUGGAGAGACGGAAUCGGCACUAGGUCCGGGGGCUUCGGUUGGAGGUGCGGGUGGGCUUAACAGCUCCGGAGCCGGAGCAGGUGAAGGUGAAGUGUGCUUCUUGCCCUUCUUCUUGCUGUGAGCCGGAGCCUUAGCCGGAGUCUCACUCGGGGGCGCAGAAGCCGGAGCUGGUGGUGUGGCCGCCUUGGGAGCCGGAGAUGGUGGAGACUGGACUGGAGCAGCCGUAGGUGGUGAGCUGACUGGCUCCGGAGCUGGAGGCGAGCUCACUGGUUAUUAAUUUUUCAACCAUAUUUUUUCAAUUUUUAUCAAAUAAUUGAGUUAUGAAUAAUCAAAUAAUAAUACAAUAACAGAAGAUGACAAUGACAGUCAAUACAAAAAGUACAACUCUCCCCUCAAACUGUAUGCCAAAGAAUACUAAAAUCCCCAAUCGGAUCCGAAUCAAACCCGGAUGUUUCACAAGCAUAUAAACAGACAAACUAUAAAUAUGUUAAAUGAAGAUGGGUUUGGGGACAAAAGUUUUCCGAAAUAAUCGUGUUUUCUAGAAGAGGAGCCAGCCAAACACGGCCCCUCCCAACACCAAACUUCCCAGCAGCUUCUGCAACCCCAUCAAUUUCUCUGCUCCACUCUGCACCAAAAUGGGAAAUUUAUACAUUAAAUUCUAACCAUAACCCACAUGCACGCUUAAUUCAUUUUUAUAACAACGAAGGAGGGCAGGAAUUAAUUCAGACAACAGAUGCUAACGUGCGCCGAUUGAAACUUUAACGCCUUUGAGACGAUGUCAGUGGGGUAUGGUUCUUUUGCCACACAAUUGUUAACGUCACUAUGCUAUUGUGUGCCACCAGUGCGCACAUUAACAGAGAGCACCACCAAAAACGCUGGUAUUCUUUGAUUAGAUAUGUAACUACAAGCUUAAUUUAUGAAUAUCAAUGGCGUGGCAGAAACACUAUGAUCCUGUUCAUCUUACAGAUCCAGAAAAUUCGUCACUACAAAUUACAUAAUUUUUUAUAGGCAUUGUCUUAUUUGAAUCUCUGUUUUUAGCAAGAAUUUAAUAGAUCAAGGUAAAACAGAAACAGAAAUGGAAAAAUAAUGGCACGUAUUACCAGAUCAAGAUGCACAUUACUGAUUCAGCACUAUAAAGGACAGCAAAAACCAAAACUAUGAAGGAAAUAGAAUUUAGAAAUGUACCUCAUCGUUAAGUGAAGUAGGAGUUGGAGAGACGGAAUCGGCGCUAGGUCCGGGGGCUUCGGUUGGAGGUGCGGGUGGGCUUGACAGCUCCGGAGCCGGAGCAGGUGAAGGUGAAGUGUGCUUCUUGCCCUUCUUCUUGCUGUGAGCCGGAGCCUUAGCCGGAGUCUCACUCGGGGGCGCAGAAGCCGGAGCUGGUGGUGUGGCCGCCUCGGGAGCCGGAGAUGGUGGAGACUGGACUGGAGCAGCCGUA
rnacentral:lncRNA from 1 species